AUACAAAUUAUCUGGAGAUCUUGUUAAAGGUAGAUUUUGGUUCGGAAGUCUGGGGGGGCAGCCCCAAGAGUCUGCAUUUCUAACAAGCUCUCAAGUGAUUUCAAU
rnacentral:pre_miRNA from 1 species